rnacentral:rRNA from 1 species
UAGGGAAUCUUCGGCAAUGGGGGGAACCCUGACCGAGCAACGCCGCGUGAGUGAAGAAGGUUUUCGGAUCGUAAAGCUCUGUUGUUAAGGAAGAACGAGUGUGAGAAUGGAAAGUUCAUACUGUGACGGUACUUAACCAGAAAGGGACGGCUAACUACGUGCCAGCAGCCGCGGUAAUACGUAGGUCCCGAGCGUUGUCCGGAUUUAUUGGGCGUAAAGCGAGCGCAGGCGGUUAGAUAAGUCUGAAGUUAAAGGCAGUGGCUCAACCAUUGUAGGCUUUGGAAACUGUUUGACUUGAGUGCAGAAGGGGAGAGUGGAAUUCCAUGUGUAGCGGUGAAAUGCGUAGAUAUAUGGAGGAACACCGGUGGCGAAAGCGGCUCUCUGGUCUGUAACUGACGCUGAGGCUCGAAAGCGUGGGGAGCGAACAGG